UACGGGAGGCAGCAGUGGGAAUAUUGCACAAUGGGCGCAAGCCUGAUGCAGCCAUGCCGCGUGUAUGAAGAAGGCCUUCGGGUUGUAAAGUACUUUCAGCAGUGAGGAAGGUGGGUAUGUUAAUAGCAUAUUCAUUUGACGUUAGCUGCAGAAGAAGCACCGGCUAACUCCGUGCCAGCAGCCGCGGUAAUACGGAGGGUGCGAGCGUUAAUCGGAAUUACUGGGCGUAAAGCGCAUGCAGGUGGUUUGUUAAGUCAGAUGUGAAAGCCCGGGGCUCAACCUCGGAAUUGCAUUUGAAACUGGCAAACUAGAGUACUGUAGAGGGGGUAGAAUUUCAGGUGUAGCGGUGAAAUGCGUAGAGAUCUGAAGGAAUACCCGGUGGCGACGGCGGCCCCCUGGACAGAUACUGACACUCAGAUGCGAAAGCGUGGGGAGCAAACAGGAUUAGAUACCCUGGUAG
rnacentral:rRNA from 1 species